rnacentral:rRNA from 1 species
GACAGAGGUGGCAAGCGUUGUCCGGAAUUACUGGGCGUAAAGCGCGCGUAGGUGGCUAGAUAAGUCCGGUGUGAAAUCCUUCGGCUUAACCGGGGAAUGGCAUCGGGGACUGUUUAGCUAGAGGACGGGAGAGGAGAGCGGAAUUCCCGGUGUAGCGGUGAAAUGCGUAGAGAUCGGGAGGAAGGCCGGUGGCGAAGGCGGCUCUCUGGAACGUCCCUGACGCUGAGGCGCGAAAGCGUGGGGAGCAAACAGG